AUUUGGAAAUUUCCUGACGCUCGAGCCUCCAACGCGAACCACGAGCAUCGCCGACAAACCACGAACCACGAACCAAGAAAGAAGUCAACACACGGAGGGGUUUCUAUUUGGCCUCUACAAAGAGUGUGCUGCUCCUUAUUAAACCAAAGAAUUUUCCUAAAAACUUAGAGACUGCACAUCGACGAUUGUUCACGGUAAACCACAAUCAACGACGACCACCAACGACCACCAUCAACAAUCAAAGCCGAUUCUCACUCUUUUGAAAAAAAAAGGGAUCACAAAUGACACAAGAAAUGCCACCACAAAAGAAUGAAGCUCAAACCAACGAAAGCCAAGAAUCAAAAUAAUGGCUCAAAAGAGAAAAUCAAAGGCAAACUAUAAUAGGAAAGCAAAGCACCUGGACUAUAUCCAGUUUCGGUGCAACGUCAAUGCUUUCAACAGCAUCAUUACAGACGUUAAAGGCAAGCUCAAUGAAAGGCAGAAGAAACUGCUCAAGAAAACGCCUUUUUGGAACUUGAUUGAGCUGUUUUACAACAAAAGAAUUGACACGAAUAACAUGAAUAAGUCGGACCUCAACUUUGUAAAGCUGCUCAAGAAGUUUGAUCCAAAUACAAAGUCCUUCAAUUUCGGCAUCAAAUCAUUCUAAAUCACAGCCGAUGUUGUGAUUGAGAUUCUAGGACUUCCAAACGAAGAAAACUCUGUCAAACUUGGCAAUGAUAGGUACAUUGCUACUUUCAAAACAAGGCACUUUGGAGGAAAGUCAAACCUAUCAAAAGGCAUGGUAGAAGGAGAAUUACAAAAGACAAUUUCCUUGACAAACCAACCGAAGAAAUAAAAGGCCACGGUAAAGCAAAAGAAGAAAACGAACAGAGGAAAAGCAAAAAAAGAAGCUGAAAGAAGAAGAAGAAGGGGAAGACAAAGAGGAAAAGGAGGUUGUUGACUACGAAAAGGAUGUGGUCAGCCUAAUUUUGAUUCUGCUCUGCAUGACAUUCCUUUUUGCCAACUCUUCAUUCACUUUGCAUUGGAAAAUUGUUGAGCACUGUAUGAAUCUAGACACACUUUCAAGCUAUUCGCGAGCAAGAGCUGUAUCAACCUACAUAAAUGACUCUUUGAUCACAAAGGCAAAAGCAAAAAGGGGAAGAGAAACCUCUAUAAGAGUUGUUUCGGGUUGCACUAUCCUAAUAUUAAACUGUGUAGUUUCUACUGUGUGCGAGGACAAACAUUAUACAACCAAUCCUUGGCAAGGAGAAAGAAACUCUUGCAAUUUUUAAAUAAAGUCUUGUGGAACUCCACAGAAGAUUCAACCAAAUAGAGGACUUAAAUGACAUAAAGGGUAUUUUGAAAACAUAUAAAAAGCGAGAAACUACCAGAGAAGAGAAGAAGAGAAGAAACAAGAAGAGAAAGAAGAAGAGAAGAAGUUAGAUGCUCCAACACCUGAUGUUCUGUCAAGAAUACAAAGGCUAAAGAACAGAGAAAGGAAGAGGCAUCAAGCAUCUUUCUAUGAGUACGAAAAAGAUAAGCAACCAAAAAAAGAGUGCUUGAAAGUGUGUCUAGAUUCACACAAUGCUCAACAAUUUUCUAGUGCAAAGUGGAUGACGAGUUGGCAAAGAGGAAUGUCAUGCAGAGUAGAAUCAAGAUUAGGCUGACCAUAUUCUUGUCGUAGUCAACACCCUUCUUUUCCUCUUCGUCUUCCCCUUCUUUUUCUUCUUUUUCUUCAGCUUUUUUUUUUUUGCCGUUCCUUUGUUCGUUUUCUUCUUUUGCUUUACCUUGGCCUUUUCUUUCUUCGGUUGGUUUGCCAAGGCAAUUGUCUUUUGUAAUUCUUCUUCUACCAUGUCUUUUGAUGGUUUUGACUUUCUUCCAAAAUGCCUUGUUAUGAAGGUAGCAGUGUAUCUAUCAUUGCCAAGUUUGACAGAGUUUCCUUCGUUUGGAAGUCCUAGAAUCUCAGUCACUGCAUUGACUGUGAUUUGGAAUGAUUUGGUGCCGAAAUUGAAGGACUUUGUAUCUGGAUCAAACUUCUUGAGUAGCUUUAUUAAGUCGAGGUCCAACUUAUUCAUGUUAUUCAUGUCAAUUCUUUUGUUGUGAAACAGCUCAAUCAAGUUCUAGAAAUGCGUUUUAUUGAGUAGUUUCUUCUGCCUUUCAUUGAGCUUGUCAUUAACGUCUGUAAUGAUGCUAUUGAAAGCAUUGACGUUGCACCAAAAUUGGGUAUAGUCCGGGUGCUUUGCUUUCCUA